UUGUGUUGAAUAUUAUUUUUCUCUUUUUGUCCGUGGAAGAAUAAUUUAUCACUGACAGUUUUGCUGUUAAUUAUUUAGUUUUAAUGCGUUUCCGGUUCACAGUAAUUAUGGCUCAUUCUUCGUCACUAACAAACUGGAGAGAUGAUGAUGACGAUAUACAGUUUUUUUCGGUAUGGCAGAAUCCACCUGGGGCCAGAACCACACCUUGCCCAGUACGAAACGAAGCAGCAGCUCGAUACAGAGUUCCUGCUGGAUCACUGAGCCCCUCACCCUCUACCUCGGCCUCUCCCCAAGACCGAGGCCAGCCACCCUCCAGACGAAUCAGAUUUCAGCCGAGUGUGUCGGUGACGUGAUUGGCGGAGUCUACAGACAUGCAGGCGAAGGUCAGCAGAAGCUCAGCCGGAGAAUUGGGGGCAUGGGGUGGAGGGGUUCUUUGCUCAGUGACUCAGCUCUCUGCUCACCAAUACGAUCAAUACAAAGGCCGCCAGAGCUACAUAAUGUGGACCUGAUGUGCAGCGUGGAUGUUGUGAAAUGAAGCCUGAUAAAUGAUUUAUGUGUGAAAUCUCACUCUGACUGUCCUUGAAAAUGAAUAUUGUUUGCUGAAAGGAAUGAAGUCCCCGACUGAUUCUUCAGCUACGGUUAAAGAAAAAAAAAAAAACACUUUUCAAGUUUGACUUACCUAAAAGAAAAAAGAUGCCUCCAUUGGCUCCCAUUACUUUCUCAUUACAGCUCAUUCAUAGUCUUUCUCCAUCUUACAUCGGAGACCUCAUGACCUUAUAUGUACCUGUUCACAAGCUGCAUUCAUGUGAUGUCGGAAUAAUCUGAAAAAAUGUGUUCAUUAUACACUAAUUAAAGAAAUGAGGAUGAACAAGGUUCUCUGAGACUAACAAAUAAAGCAUAACAAACUUCUUACCAGAAACUGCCGCCCUAAUGUGAAGGUGAAAAAUGAGUGACUGAAUGGAGUGAAGCCCUUAAAUAACCUUGUAGUGUAGUCUAUAUCUUUUGAUCUAAAUGUUCACUGUUCACUUUGAUUUUCUUCUACUUUAAGUUAUUUUUUGUGAAACACAGUUUUUUUUAUGAUGCUGUAUCAAUAAACUUUUACCAUUAAAUCAA